rnacentral:rRNA from 1 species
GAUGAACGCUGGCGGCGUGCCUAAUACAUGCAAGUCGAACGAAACUUCUUUAUCACCGAGUGCUUGCACUCACCGAUACAGAGUUGAGUGGCGAACGGGUGAGUAACACGUGGGCAACCUGCCCAAAAGAGGGGGAUAACACUUGGAAACAGGUGCUAAUACCGCAUAACCAUAGUUACCGCAUGGUAACUAUGUAAAAGGUGGCUAUACUACCGCUUUUGGAUGGGCCCGCGGGGCAUUAGCUAGUUGGUAGGGUAAAGGCUUACCAAGGCAAUGAUGCGUAGCCGAAUUGAGAGGUUGAUCGGCCACAUUGGGACUGAGACACGGCCCAAACUACUACGGGAGGCAGCAGUAGGGAAUCUUCCACAAUGGGCGAAAGCCUGAUGGAGCAACGCCGCGUGGGUGAAGAAGGUCUUCGGAUCGUAAAACCCUGUUGUUAGAGAAGAAAGUGCGUGAGAGUAACUGUUCACGUUUCGACGGUAUCUAACCAGAAAGCCACGGCUAACUACGUG